GUGUCAGCAGCCGCGGUAAGACGAACUGUGCGAACGUUAUUCGGAAUCACUGGGCUUACAGGGUGCGUAGGCGGCCUGUUAAGUAGGGUGUGAAAUCCCCCGGCCCAACCGGGGAAUGGCGCUCUAAACUAGCAGGCUUGAGUGAGCUAGGGGUACACGGAACUUCCAGUGGAGCGGUGAAAUGUGUUGAUAUUGGAAGGAACACCGGAGGCGAAAGCGGUGUACUGGGGCUUAACUGACGCUGAGGCACGAAAGCCAGGGGAGCGAACGGGAUUAGAUACCCCGGUAGUCC
rnacentral:rRNA from 1 species